AUUGAACGCUGGCGGCAUGCCUUACACAUGCAAGUCGAACGGCAGCACGGGAGCAAUCCUGGUGGCGAGUGGCGAACGGGUGAGUAAUAUAUCGGAACGUGCCCAGUCGUGGGGGAUAACGUAGCGAAAGCUACGCUAAUACCGCAUACGAUCUAUGGAUGAAAGCGGGGGAUCGCAAGCCCCCGCGCGAGUGGAGCGGCCGAUAUCAGAUUAGCUAGUUGGUGGGGUAAAGGCCCACAAAGGCUACGAUCUGUAGCUGGUCUGAGAGGACGACCAGCCCCACUGGAACUGAGACACGGUCCAGACUCCUACGGGAGGCAGCAGUGGGGAAUUUUGGACAAUGGGCGCAAGCCUGAUCCAGCAAUGCCGCGUGCAGGAUGAAGGCCUUCGGGUUGUAAACUGCUUUUGUACGGAACGAAGCGGUCCUUUCUAAUACAGGGGGCUAAUGACGGUACCGUAAGAAUAAGCACCGGCUAACUACGUGCCAGCCGCCGCAGUAACAC
rnacentral:rRNA from 1 species